GAUCCUGGCUCAGGAUGAACGCUAGCUACAGGCUUAACACAUGCAAGUCGAGGGGCAGCAUCAUCAAAGCUUGCUUUGAUGGAUGGCGACCGGCGCACGGGUGAGUAACACGUAUCCAACCUGCCGACAACACUGGGAUAGCCUUUCGAAAGAAAGAUUAAUACCGGAUGGCAUAAUUUUCCCGCAUGGGAUAAUUAUUAAAGAAUUUCGGUUGUCGAUGGGGAUGCGUUCCAUUAGGUAG
rnacentral:rRNA from 1 species